AUUGAACGCUGGCGGCAGGCCUAACACAUGCAAGUCGAGCGAGCGGCGGACGGGUGAGUAAUGUAUGGGGACUGCCCGAUAGAGGGGGAUAACUACUGGAAACGGUGGCUAAUACCGCAUACUAUCGGAUAACCCAUAUGGGAUUAGCUAGUAGGUGGGGUAAAGGCUCACGUAGGCGACGAUCUCUAGCUGGUCUGAGAGGAUGAUCAGCCGCACUGGGGCUGAGACACGGGCCAAAAUGCUACAGAGGCAGCAGAGGGGAAUAGUGGACAAUGGGCGCAAGCCUGAUGCAGCCAUGCCGCGUGUAUGAAGAAGGCCUGAGGGUUGUAGAAUACUUUCAGUGGGGGGGCGUUAGCCGCAGAAGAAGCACCGCCUAACUCCGUGCCAGCAGCCGCGGUAAUUC
rnacentral:rRNA from 1 species